rnacentral:rRNA from 1 species
UGAGGAAUAUUGGUCAAUGGGCGAGAGCCUGAACCAGCCAAGUCGCGUGAGGGAAGAAUGGUCUAUGGCCUGUAAACCUCUUUUGUCAGGGAAGAAUAAGCGGCACGUGUGCCGUGAUGCCAGUACUUGACGAAUAAGCAUCGGCUAACUCCGUGCCAGCAGCCGCGGUAACACGGGGGAUGCGAGCGUUAUCCGGAUUUAUUGGGUUUAAAGGGCGCGUAGGCGGGAUGCCAAGUCAGCGGUAAAAGACUGCAGCUAAACUGUAGCACGCCGUUGAAACUGGUGACCUCGAGACGAGUCGAGGAUGGCGGAACAAGUGAAGUAGCGGUGAAAUGCUUAGAUAUCACUUGGAACCCCGAUAGCGAAGGCAGCUGUCCAGACUCGAUCUGACGCUGAUGCGCGAGAGCGUGGGUAGCGAACA